rnacentral:rRNA from 1 species
UAGUGGCGGACGGCUGAGUAACGCGUAGGUGACCUACCUCCGAGAUUGGGAUAACUUGUCGAAAGACGGGCUAAUACCGAAUAAGACCACGAAGGCUAAGGCUUUUGGGGUAAAAGGUGGCCUCUGCUUGCAAGCUACUACUUGGAGAUGGGCCUGCGUGCCAUUAGCUAGUUGGCGGGGUAACGGCCCACCAAGGCGAAGAUGGCUAGCUGGUCUGAGAGGAUGGCCAGCCACACUGGGACUGAGACACGGCCCAGACUCCUACGGGAGGCAGCAGUGGGGAAUAUUGCGCAAUGGGCGAAAGCCUGACGCAGCGACGCCGCGUGGGUGAUGAAGGCCUUCGGGUCGUAAAGCCCUGUCAGGAGGGACGAAACCUCGACGAUCGAAUACGUCGUCGACUUGACGGUACCUCUGAAGGAAGCACCGGCUAACUCCGUGCCAGCAGCCGCGGUAAUACGGAGGGUGCGAGCGUUGUUCGGAAUUACUGGGCGUAAAGCGCGUGUAGGCGGCUUCCUAAGUCUGGUGUGAAAGCCCGGGGCUCACCCCCGGAAGUGCACUGGAAACUGGGAAGCUAGAGUACCGGAGAGGAGGGUGGAAUUCCUGGUGUAGCGGUGAAAUGCGUAGAUAUCAGGAGGAACACCGGUGGCGAAGGCGGCCCUCUGGACGGAUAC